ensembl:lncRNA
CACAGCAGGGACUGCAAGCUGUGCAACUGCCGUAACAUUAAAAAAAUGAUGAUCCCAAUGACUCCAUCUUCGUGUCCUGCUAACACCGCUGUCGUGCUGCAGCAGCCAGAGAGCUGCCAUGCUUUGCAGCUGGCCAGGAGUAGUGUAGCCAAUGUGUCUGCAAUUUUAGCAGAGACGUGGGGCAGGAAAUGAGAGAACCCAUAAAUGCUCCACUUCAAAUACUGAAAUCAGAGGUGAACAAUUGCGGACAGCUUUGGCCACGUAAGUCUGCUGUUUAAGGAGCUGGCGUUAAUGAUUUCCUGCAUGAGGAACUACAAGUCUUGCAUGCAAGUUGGCAAGUGAAGGGAAAACAUGAUGACUGUCCAUAUUUACGUCUACACCUGUGUUAUCUAUCAGAGUAUUGAAUAUCCAGGAAGAAGGACUGAUUUUUCAAGAUAAGCCAAAAACAGAAAAAAACAAACUCUUCUAAAUCCUCCAGGGGCACCACUGGAAAAUCCUCUUAGAGUUUUGUUACUUGCUCAACACGCACAGAGACAAAACACAGCAAGCAAGCACUCUAGCACCAGCAUCCUCUUCCACUCCUCUCUGCAGGUACGGAAGCUGGGUGAGCUCUGAGCUCUGUGGAGUGGUCCAUGUCACUCUGAAGGGCAGCACAGCCAGCUGGGGCAUCAGCCACUCCUCCCAGUUUCUGAGAACUGCAAACUUGCGUUAUGGUAGGAAACGAUCAGGUUGGUCAAGCAUGACUUUCCCAUCAUACAUCCAUACUGGCUACUCCCAAUUACCUCCCUGUCCUUCACAUGCCUGGAAACAGUUUCAGGAAGUGGUUUCAGUAGUUGUUCCAUCACCAUCCUAGGCGCUGAGCCUCCAGGAACCUCUCCCAGUUGCCACACGCAGGAUGAGAUAGCACUUUGUUUUUGUGGCACCCCAGCAGAAGGCACGGAGCAGAUAUCAGGAAAGCCCAUUUGUUUGGUGUUUCUCAUGUGCAGAGUACCAAGAGAAGACUUCGUAUCUAGGACACGGGUAUGAAGAGACUGAAAUGGUAGUGGGCCUUGCUGUCCUUCAGCCAUGCUGCUUCAAAUCCAAAGCAAGUCCAGCAUCUCCGUGCUGGCACUGUAGACUAACAGGCUUCUGAAACACAGUCAGCUCCUGUGUAUAAGCCACACCACAGGAGGCCAGAACUGCUGCUAAGCAGCCCUACAGUGCAUGAUACAGAGCGCAAGAGUUACUUCAGGUGCCAGUAUCAGGUGUGAGUGCUUCCCAUGAAGCGCCUGUAUUGCCUGGGAAAGUGUCAUCCCACUAUCUGUGCUGUUGUUGAGAAACCACUGAAGCAUCUUGUGGGUGGACAUGGCUAUCAUAGAAACACGUCCUUAAAUGCUACUCGUGGACUUGAUGUCUGUACAACUAUCUCAGAUAAGUAGGUGAUUUCCAUAGGUAAAAGCCUAGGCAGAUAAAGUGAU